rnacentral:rRNA from 1 species
ACGAACGCUGGCGGCGUGCUUAACACAUGCCAGUCGAACGGAAAGGCCCUGCUUGCAGGGUACUCGAGUGGCGAACGGGUGAGUAACACGUGGGUGAUCUGCCCUGCACUUCGGGAUAAGCCUGGGAAACUGGGUCUAAUACCGGAUAGGAGCCAUUUUUAGUGUGAUGGUUGGAAAGUUUUUUCGGUGUAGGAUGAGCUCGCGGCCUAUCAGCUUGUUGGUGGGGUAAUGGCCUACCAAGGCGGCGACGGGUAGCCGGCCUGAGAGGGUGGACGGCCACAUUGGGACUGAGAUACGGCCCAGACUCCUACGGGAGGCAGCAGUGGGGAAUAUUGCACAAGGGGCGCAAGCCUGAUGCAGCGACGCCGCGUGGGGGAUGACGGCCUUCGGGUUGUAAACUCCUUUCGCUAGGGACGAAGCUUUUUGUGACGGUACCUAGAUAAGAAGCACCGGCUAACUACGUG